rnacentral:rRNA from 1 species
GAUGAACGCUGGCGGCGUGCCUAAUACAUGCAAGUCGAGCGAACAGACUCGGAGCUUGCUCCUCUGACGUUAGCGGCGGAUGGGUUAGUAACACUUGGAUCACCUACCUAUACGACUUGGAUAACUUCGUGACACCGGUGCUAAUACCGGAUAAUAUAUUGACCCUCAUGGUUCAAUAGUGAACGACGGUUUUGCUGUCAUUUCUAGAUACAUUCUCGCCGCAUUAGCUCGUUGGUAAGGUAACGGCUUAUCAUGUCCAUGAUGCGUAGCCGACCUGUGAGCGUGAUCGCCCGCACUGGAAGUGAGACACGGUCCAGACACCUACGAGAAGGAGCAGUAGGGAAACUUCCACAAUGGGCGAAAGACUAUCGGAGCAGCGGCACGUAAGUGGUAAAGGACUUAGGAUCGUAAAACUCUGUUAAUAGGGGAGAAAAAGUGUGUGAGUAACUAGGGAGGACGUGAAGGAACCAAAGAAGAAAGCCACGGCGAACAACAUG